GUCAAGAUGGCGGAACUGGCAGACGCGUACGGUUCAGAACCGUAUGGGGCAACCCUUGAGGGUUCAACUCCCUCUCUUGACA
rfam:Candidatus Blackburnbacteria bacterium RIFCSPHIGHO2_12_FTLL_41_13b rifcsphigho2_12_scaffold_15228, whole genome shotgun sequence.